ensembl:lncRNA
UGUUGAUGUGAGCCAUAACCAGCCUUUCAAAACACUUCAUGGCUACCAAUAAGCGUCACUGCAGUCCCUGGUUCAAAUCCAAGCCGUAUCAUAUCUGGCUGUGAUUGGAGUCCUGCGUGGUGCACAAUUGGCCCAGCAUCGUCCAGGUUUGGCGGGAUGUGGUGAGUGACUAUGUGGCGCGAAGAUGACUCAGCCAUAACUGCGUCAUUGGGGCCCUGAACAACCCUGCAGCCCACCAUAGGCCAUCACUGAGCUCGCCUCAGCAGCCAGAGUGGCAAACCAAGCGCGGGGGUGUUAAAGACAUGUGUCAGUGUGGGACGGGUUGGCCGUCCUAGUAUAUCCUGGUAUAUCUAUUCUUCACUGCCACAGCCAAACCACCAUCAUCCAUCUACAUCUACGUAUCAUAAAAGUUAUAUUAAGAUCCACCACUUCCUCUUCAGCACCUUUUUACACACGGGCCACGCAGACGCGGCCAAGCAGAAACCUGAGACCACCACCCACUCAGACCUUGAAUGUCACAGGAAAACUGGGUAUCCGUGCUGUUUUUAGUGACACGUCUUCACCGUGGCGUUAUGCACUGGUGUUUAUUGGAGCUGAACAGCUAACAAUUCUAGGAUGAGAGAACGUUUUUGUAAUGUUAGACGUAAUGUUCCCCUAAUGUUUGAGUAUCCAGCUUUCCUUUAGUUAGGGGAAGAAAAACCUGCAAACAUUUUUAUUAUGUUGUGGUGUUAAAAUUAGAACAUUCCCUUAAUGUCAAGCUGAACUUAUCUAGAACGUGGUUACAAUGUUCUCAGAAUAUGCAAUACUAAUGUUCUAGACACGUUUCAUGGGACGUUGAAAGAACAGACAGCACCUGUUAAAAGUUUGGACACACUUACUCAUUCCAGGAUUUUUCUUUAUUUUUUACUAUUUUAUACAUUGUAGAAUAAUAGUGAAGACAUCAAAACUAUGAAAUAACACAUAUGGAAUCAAAUAAAAUACAUUUUAAAUAAAAAAUUAUUAGUCACACGCCGAAUACAACAGGUGUAGACCUUACUUACAAACCCCUAACCAACAACGCAGUUUAAAAAAUAUGAAUAAGAAUAAGAAAUAAAAGGAACAAGUAAAUAUGUACAUGUAGGUAGAGUUAUUAAAGUGACUAUGCAUAGAUAAUAACAGAGAGUAGCAGCGGUGUAAAAGAGGGAGGGGGGUGGGGGGGGCAAUGCAAAUAGUCUGGGUAGCCAUUUGAUUAGAUGUUCAGGAGUCUUAUGGUUUCGGGGUAGAAGCUCUUUAGAAGCCGAUUAGACCUAGACUUGUCGCUCUGGUACCGCUUGCCGUAGCAGAGAGAACAGUCUAUGACUAGGGUGGCUGGAGUCUUUGACAAUUUUUUCUUUGACGUAGAUGUGGACAUUUGCCCGGCUCUGGGGAGGGAACCCACCUCCACUACCUGUCCUCCUGAGCGCAUCUACAUUCCCAUGGGGAUAAGGGAGCGACUGUUGACCUGGGCACACACAGUUGUCGUCGCUGGACAUCCUGGGAUCAUCCGUACUACACAAUCACUCUCCGAAAAGUAUUGGUGGCCCUCCCUGGCUCAGGGCGUUACUCGCUACAUCAACUCCUGUUCUGUGUAUGCCCAAACUAAGUCUCCCCGGCACACUCCAACAGGAAAACUCAUUCCCCUUCCCGUGCCUCAGCAUCCUUGUUCUCAUCUGUCCAUUGACUUUGUUACCGAUCUCCCCUCCUUUGACUGUUUCACCACCAUUCAUUCUGGUGGUUAUGGACAGAUUUUCUAAAUCAUGCCAGUUUAUUCCUCUCUCUGAUCUCCCUACCUCUCUCCAGGUUGCUGAGGCACUUUUCCAGCAGGUCUUCCGGCGCUAUGGCCUUCCAGAGGACAUCGUCUCUGACCGUGACCCCCAAUUCACGUCACAGGUAUGGAGGGAUUUCGUAGAGAAACUGGGGAGUCACGGUCAGCCUCACUUCCGUGUACCGGCCUCAGUCCAACGGACAGGUGGAGAUGAUAAACCAGGAGCUGGGGAGGUUCCUGAGAGUCACUGCCAGGACCGGCAAAGGGAGUGGGCCCGAUUCCUUCCCUGGGUGGAAUACACCCAGAAUUCAUUACGUCACUCUUCCACUGAGCUUACCCCCCUCCAGCGUGUCCUGGGUUAUCAGCUGGCCCUGGCUCCGUGGACUCUGAGCCAGACCAAGGCCCCUGCAUUGGACAAAUGGUUCCCGGCCUGCAGAGGAGGUUUGGAGUGAUGCACAUGUGAAGCUCCAGUGUGCCGUCCGUUGCCAGAAGAAGCGAUUGCCCCUGCAGUAAGGCGCCCGUGUUCCAUCCUGGUGAUUGCGUAUGGCUCUCUACCGGGAACCUCACUCCGCCUGCCCUACAAGAGGCUGAGCCCUUGGUUUGUGGGGCCGUUCCUGGUUCUCCGAAGGAUUGACGAGGUGACGUAUAGGCUUUGUUUCAUGCCUCCCUUCUCAGGCCGGUGGUUCCUGGCCCCCUGGUUGAUGCUGUCCCCCACAACCCCCCCCCCUCCCCGGAUGCUGAGGGGGAUCCUGCCUAUGCCGUCAGAUCCCUACUGGACUCCAGACGUUGUGGGGGUUGGCUCCAGUACCUGGUGGACUGGGAGGGGUAUGGCCCAGAGGAGCAGUGUUUAGGUUCCGGUGGAGGACACUGGACCCCAACAUCAUUUGUGAUUUCCAUUUUCGCCGCCUGGACCGGCCUGCUCCUUGGGGCUGUCCCUCCUGCGGCUGGAGUUGCGUGUCGGGGUACUGUCAAGUCUACUCUCGCUCCACCCCUCCGGCGUUUGAAAUUGCCAGUUUACUAACCACCGGUCCUGGCAUUCAUCAUUACGUGCACAUGGCAUUCAUCAUUACGCACACCUAUGCUUCAUCAAUAGGCACACCUGGACUCCAUCACUUCAAUGAUUACCUCCCCUAUGUCUGUCACUCUCUUAGUUCCAUUCCCCAGGCAGUAUUGACGAUGUGUUUCAUGUCUGUACGCUACUCGUGUAUCUUGCACUGUUGCAUGUUUAUUAUUAAACUCACCACUUGCACUUCCUUCCAGACUCCCAGUGUCCGCAUUAAAAGUAAAAAUAAAGAAAAACCCUUGAAUGAGUAGGUUUUCAUAAUUUUGACUGGUACUGUACAGUUUUCUGAGUAUGGAGA